UUUUUUUUUCCUUGACAGGUUCUUGAUGCCAACCCACUUCCUGGAAUGAUUAUCACUCCUUUUCAGGGAGUAGCACCUGUGGGAGGUCGUACAGAAAUAAAGAUCUAUUUCAGACCUGAAGCAUUAAUGAAAUUUGAUAGCAGAGUGGAGGUAGCAGUACGGCAUGCAAAAUCUUUGCAACUUAGGAUUGGUGGAUUUGUAGAGGUUCCCGUCAUAGAUGUCAGUGUGAACUCUUUUAACUUCCUUGGUGUUUAUGCUGGCUCAAGCC
rnacentral:lncRNA from 1 species